rnacentral:lncRNA from 1 species
UGUUAAGUAUGAAUACUCUUUUAAGUUUUAUCAGUUAAGCGUGAAGAGUAUAGACUCUUGAAUACUCCUUAUCUAUCUCACAAUGUAUUUAAAGUAUCAUAUCCGAUUUACACUAUUAUUUUCAGUUUUCUAUGCAUUUGUGAUCCACCUUGUUUGUUGACCUGCUCCGUUCUUUUUUUUAGUGUUCAUUCCUCUGUUUUUCAUCAUNNNN